rnacentral:antisense_RNA from 1 species
AAUAAAUUUCUAGUUUCAUCAGUAUUAAAUCCAUGAAUAGAUGCAAAUUCCAAAAUAGAGUUAUUAACUGCAGAGAUUAAAUGCUUAAGUUUAAAAUAAGCAUCAUAUGGAGGUAGUCUACACUCUAAGACAAGUCUGUCAAUUUGAUUAAUUACUAGAACAACCUUCUUCCCUUCUGAUAAGCAAUAAUGAAGCAAUCUUUCUAAUUGUUUAGUUAAACCAAUAACACAGUCCAAGAAAAGUAUAACUCCUUCUGAAAUUCUUACUGAAAUGCAUGCUUCAUCCACAAAGUUAACAUGACCAGGGGUAUCUAAAAUAUUGAAUAAGAAAGAUUUAUCCAUAGAGUUUGGUAGUACCAAAGAUAUUGGAGAAGCUUUAAUACUAAUUCCUCUAUCCUGUUCAUCUUUUCUUGAAUCACAAUAUCUCUCCGGUAAAGGAAUAUUUUUCUUAUCUCCUUUGUAAGAAUGAGUAUUUUUAAUCAACAUAUCUAAGAAUGUGGUUUUUCCAGAAUGAAUUUCACCAAUAAAACAGAUAUUUCUAACAAAUUCCAAAUUAUCCAUUAAAUCUCUCAAGAAUUCAUAAGAAAAUGUUGUUUCCAUUUCCUUAAGGUUCUUUUCAAUUAAGUCAAAUUUGUUUUCUUUUAAGGGAGAAAUGAGAGGUUCAUCUAUAUGUUGGUGGUCUUCCUCUUGUACCAAUAUUUCAACGUCAUCACCAUAUACAUCAGAUGGGUCUGGAUAAUACUCUUUAUCUUCAAAUUGCACAAUCUUAUUAUCAUCAUCAGUUUCCUGAGUCAUUUCAUGAUCCUCGUCUUUUAUGCUUUGUUUAUUAAGUAUUUUGACUUGUCCUUUAUGCUUUUGCCACUCAUUUUCAGAAAAAAUAUCACUUCCUGAAUCUUCAGACUCUUCUUUUUGGGCAUGAUCAAAAAUUUCACCAUCUUUAUUGUUGUGGCUAUCUUCUGGAUCUGAAGUUUCUUCGGAUCCCACCCAAUCUGCGCUUCCUUCUGAGUCGUUAUCAUCUUUCACAAUAUAAUUACCAAAUUCAUCAUACACAUCAUUCAAGUCCAUCUUUAGAUGAUUAACCCCCAGAGCUAUUAAAUAUUACUCUUGCC